GUUUCUAAUACAAGCCAAUACUCAAAAACGUCAGAAACUUCAACAAGAUGAAGGCUCAACCGUUUUUGAACAUGUUGAUGCUGUCACUGAGGGAAGACAAGUGAUUUUGGAAACUGUGGAAACUAAGGCAAAUGAUACAAAUAGGAAAAAGCAUGGUCGUGGCAGGGGGCACACUGUUUCAAGCCGGGGGCGUGGUUCAAGGGUUAAUGAUCAAACAAGAUCACAAAUAAGCCCUGCAACAGUUACGCCUUCAAAUGGUCAGCUUGAGUACUCAUAUAAUAAGGAUAAUAGGUCCAAGGAGCAUUUCCGCAAUGACGGCCGUUUGUCAU